rnacentral:rRNA from 1 species
AAUUUGUAGAGGAUGCUUUUGGUGCGGUGCCUUCCGAGUUCCCUGGAACGGGACGCCUUAGAGGGUGAGAGCCCCGUACGGUUGGACGCCUAGCCUCUGUAAAGCUCCUUCGACGAGUCGAGUAGUUUGGGAAUGCUGCUCUAAAUGGGAGGUAUAUUUCUUCUAAAGCUAAAUACUGGCCAGAGACCGAUAGCGCACAAGUAGAGUGAUCGAAAGAUGAAAAGCACUUUGAAAAGAGGGUUAAAUAGCACGUGAAAUUGUUGAAAGGGAAGCGUUUAUCACCAGACUUUUUCUGGGGGGAUCAUCCGGUGUUCUCACCGGUGCACUUCCCCCAGUUGAGGCCAGCAUCGGUUUUCGGAGGGGGAUAAAAGCUUCGGGAAUGUGACUCCCUCGGGAGUGUUAUAGCCCGUUGCAUAAUACCCUUCUGGGGACCGAGGUUCGCGCAUCUGC